UCGAUACUUCCUACCUUUGUACAUACCUAUCUACACUUCUAAUUCUGUACCUGAUACGAUCUCAUCACCCCAAUCAGCACGCGUCGAAAAUCUGUCGCGAGUCUUAUUCUAAUGAAAUUUCAAAUACAGAACACAUCGACAAAAAAUUUAGCAGAUAUAUAACAGUAUUUGUGAAAAUUAUAAGAACUACGUCCGUACUGAUUGCAAAUUUUGAAGGUGGAGCGCAAGCAGCAGAAAGCCAGAGAGUAUUAACAUAGACACUAUUAUCGAUCGUUCGAUCACAUCCAAUGGGAACAUUACUCAGGCUCUAGAGAAAGGAAAAAAAGAUUAAUAAAAAUUGAUACAAGAUGUACCUUUUUUUUAACAUCAUGAGAUGGACUACAGAAAAACCUAAGUCAGUGUGAUAACUAUCUUCUAAUUAUUUUCAGAAG